UCCUCAAUAGCUCAGUCGGUAGAGCAUCUGACUGUUAAUCAGGUUGUCGCAGGUUAGAGUCCUGCUUGAGGAGCCA
rnacentral:tRNA from 1 species